rnacentral:rRNA from 1 species
UACGUAGGGCGCAAGCGUUGUCCGGAAUUAUUGGGCGUAAAGAGCACGUAGGCGGAUAGGCAAGUCAGAUGUGAAAUCCCGGAGCUCAACUCCGGAACUGCAUUUGAUACUGCCUGUCUUGAGUGAGGUAGAGGGGAGUGGAAUUCCCGGUGUAGAGGUGAAAUUCGUAGAUAUCGGGAGGAACACCAGAGGCGAAGGCGGCUUUCUGGACUGACCCUGACGCUGAGGUGCGAAAGCGUGGGUAGCAAACAGGAUUAGAUACCCCUGUA